AGAGGAAUAGCUAGGUCAAAUGGUGGUUCCAUUCCCAGAUUUCCAAGGAAUCUCCAUACUGCUUUUCAAAUUGGCUGCACCUUUGCAAUCCCACCAGCAGU
rnacentral:pre_miRNA from 1 species